AGCAGCCGUGGUAAUUCCAGCUCCAAUAGCGUAUAUUAAAGUUGUUGCAGUUAAAAAGUUCAUAGUUGAAUUUCGGGAUUUUAGUAGGCUGGUUAUGAACUCGCUCGCUGCCGGUUUAUGUACUGGUCUUACUAAUUCCUCCUUCCUGAUGAACUGUAAUGCCAUUAAUUUGGUGUUGCAGGGAAUCUGACCUGUUACUUUGAAAAAAUUAGAGUGUUUAAAGCAGGCUAACGCUUGAAUAAGUUAGCAUGGAAUAAUGAAAUAGGAUGUUCGAUCCUAUUUUGUUGGUUUCUAGGAUUGACGUAAUGAUUAAUAGGGAUAGUUGGGGGCAUUAGUAUUCAAUUGUCAGAGGUGAAAUUCUUGGAUUUAUUGAAGACUAACUACUGCGAAAGCAUUGCCAAGGAUGUUUCAUUAAUCAAGAAGGAAAGUUACAGGAUCGAAGACGAUCAGAUACCGUCGUAGUCUUAACCAUAAACUAUGCCGACUAGGAUCGGAUGAUGUUAAUUUUUAAUGU
rnacentral:rRNA from 1 species